AUGCCGGGGGGCAGGGUGGAUCGCAGUGAGUUCAGAUGUGCGGGAAGGGAGAGGGAAGAGAAGGGAGAAAGGAGAAGCAGGGCGUCAGGGCAGCAGCUUGGAACUCUGACGGUCGCCGGCGUCAUCCAGAUGCGGCGGGGUCGCGCGCGGUGCUCGGAUGGAGGCAACUGCGAUGUGAGGCUCGGGAGGAGCUCCUCUGUCUCAACCCAGCGUGACGAGGGAGACUCGCCUGCAGGUCAAAACCGCCCAUUGACCAUUGCCAUGUCAGCAAUCAGUCAAGAUUUUGUUGAGGACCAAUUUGGCCUCGGGUUGAUUGCUUGGGCAGUUGAAGAAGGGAUAGCUAUCAUAAAGCCUAUGGGUAUUAUGAUAUUCAACGUGGAUUAUGCAUCAAUAAGCUCUGGCAAACAAACAUUAUGCAGCAUUAUCCUAGUGUUUGGUCAAGAAUUUCGAGUUGCACAACAACAUUUAGCUUCUGAUGCGGAUAUUUCAGCUUUAGUUGAAAUUGAGAAAAUUUACCCACAUCAUUUUGAGUUCUUCAUGGAUCUUCAUGGGGAUCAACCUGUCUCUGCAUGCACUGCCUUGGCAUACAUGAAAUCUGGUGGCCGUGUUUCGCAUGCUUUCUCCGUGUAUAGCUGUCAACUUCGCCAACCUAACCAGGUGAAGAAGCUAUUUGAGAGUUUUAAAAAUGGACUUCAUGAAGUCAGCAGCUCGCUCGAUUUAUCUUUUGAUGAUGAUUCUGUUGCCGAUGAAAAGAUUCCCUUCCUAGUAUACCUAGCUCAUUUUUUGAAGGAUGAUAAGCCCAAUCCUUGUGAGCCUCCAGCUGGAUGUUUAAACUUUCGGAAUAUUGUCGCUGAAUUUAUGAAGAGCUACCACCACAUCCCAUUAACUCCUGAAGAUGUUGUUGUAUUCCCUUCCCGCGAUGUGGCAAUAGAAAAUUACCUUCGACUGUUCUCACCAUCACUCGCGAUUGUCGAUGAACAUCUGACCAGACACUUGCCCAAGCAAUGGUUGACAUCUUCAGCAAUCGAGUGGAAAAUACAUGCCUAUCCUGUGAAGAAAAAUGAUGGUUCAAGAAUGUUGAUGCUACUGCUUCCUUUUGACACUGCAGGGGAGGGCAGAUGUAACCGUGCUGAAGACACAGUCACUGUAAUUGAAGCGCCAUGCCGGUCAGAUUUGCUGAUUGAAUUGGUCAGGAAGCUGAAGCCUCAGGUUGUUGUUACUGGCAUAGCUCAUUUUGAGGUUGUCACCAGUGCAGCUUUUGUGAACUUACUAAGCGCAACACAAGAUGUUGGUUCUCGCUUAUUCCUGGACAUUUCAGAGCAUCUGGAGUUAUCUAAUUUGCCAAACUCUAAUGGUGUGCUGAAAUAUCUUGCUGGAAACACCCUACCUUCGCAUGCAGCUAUACUGUGUGGUCUAGUAAAAAAUCAGGUUUAUUCUGAUCUGGAAGUUGCUUUUGCUAUUUCCGAGGAUGCAGCUGUAUGUAAGGCAUUGUCACAAACUAUUGAGAUAUUGGAAGGACAUACUUCUGUGAUUAGCCAGCACUAUUAUGGAUGUCUUCUCCAUGAGCUGCUGGCGUUUCAAAUUGGCGACCAGCAUGCACAACAAGAGAGGCAACCUGCAGAAGUGACACCUCAGAAGAUAAUAGGAUUUUCUAAUUCAGCUCUGACUACCCUAGAAGAAGCUGAAUUUUUUGUUCCCGAGUUAAAGGAUUGUAGUGUCAUUCAUAUGGAUUUAGACCGCAGUUUCUUGUCAGUACCUUCUGCAGUGAAAGCCUCCAUUUUUGAAAGUUUUGUGAGGCAGAACAUCACGGAUUCUGAAGCUGAUGUCCGUUCUAGCAUUGAAAAGCUGGUGGGAAAUAACUAUGGUUUACCAGGAGACGAUUGUCCUGAUAUUGCAGAGUCCUCCUACCGUAAGGAAAUUGUAUAUGGCAGCAGCUGUCUCGCACUCUUUAACAAGCUUAUCAUUUGCUGUGUGCAAGAACAAGGCACCUUCUUUUUCCCCAUGGGCACAAAUGGACACUAUGUCGCAGCAGCGAAGUUUAUGAACGCAAAAACCUUGACAAUUCCAACAAAUGUAGAGUCAGGCUUCAAGAUUGAACCGAUGGCUCUAGAUGCAGCUCUAGAGGAUGCCAUUGAGAACAAUAAUGUAUUCCGUCCAUGGGUGUAUAUUUCUGGCCCUACAAUCAACCCUUCUGGUUUCCUUUAUAGUGAUAACGAGAUAAAAGAUCUGGUCUCUGUUUGUGCUCAUCGUUCAGCUCGGGUCGUGAUAGAUACCUCCUUUUCCGGUCUUGAGUUUCAAACUGAUGGCUGGAGUCGGUGGAAUUUGAGUACAUUAUCUUAUGACAUUUGCUUAUGUUCCACACUAACUUAUUUCAUGCUCGGAGAGCUGUCUCUUCAGCUGACAGCGUCUGGCCUUGAUUUUGGGUUUCUGAUUUGUAGUAAGCCACCCAAUGUGGAACUUAGUUUCGGAAGCUUGAGUCAGCCACAUAAGACACUGAAGUACGCUUUUAGAAAACUGUUGGGUCUUAAAAACGAGUGGGAUGGGCACUUCUCUAGUCCCUUCUAUAGUCUCAUCAUGGAGCAACAGGACAAAGCUCAGGAAUGGUUCGAACAAGUUCAAAAAGCUGAUAAGGGGAAAUUCUCUAAUAUCAUCAUGGAGCAAAGGGAGAAACUCAAGAAACGUGCCAACAAGUUAACGAAGGUAGACAUACUUUCGCACAGCUUCAAGGAGGACUUUGGGUUUGACAUGGUGUCCUUUUUUUGCUGCAAUUUACAGACACUUGAGAGCUGUGGGUGGGAUGUUGUCGGCGGUGAUGGAGGUACCUCGAUGCUGGCGAAACCGACGGCCUACAUUAGCAGAUCAUUCAAGAUAGACGGUUUUGAAGGCGAACUCGACGGCUGCAACAUUAGGGAAGCCGUUCUUAGAUCCACUGGUCUUUGCAUAAGCAGUAGCAAAUGGACCGGGAUACCAGACUACUGCCGGUUCAGCUUUGCUCUGGAGAGCAGCGAAUUUGAGCGGGCAAUGGACUGCAUAAUCCGGUUCAGAGAGUUGGUUCUGGGGGAGGAACAAGGCUCGAUCUGA
rnacentral:rRNA from 1 species